GAACGAACGCUGGCGGCAGGCUUAACACAUGCAAGUCGAGCGCCCCGCAAGGGGAGCGGCAGACGGGUGAGUAACGCGUGGGAAUCUACCAUUUGCUACGGAACAACAGUUGGAAACGACUGCUAAUACCGUAUGUGCCCUUUGGGGGAAAGAUUUAUCGGCAAAUGAUGAGCCCGCGUUGGAUUAGCUAGUUGGUGGGGUAAAGGCCUACCAAGGCGACGAUCCAUAGCUGGUCUGAGAGGAUGAUCAGCCACACUGGGACUGAGACACGGCCCAGACUCCUACGGGAGGCAGCAGUGGGGAAUAUUGGACAAUGGGCGCAAGCCUGAUCCAGCCAUGCCGCGUGAGUGAUGAAGGCCCUAGGGUUGUAAAGCUCUUUCACCGGUGAAGAUAAUGACGGUAACCGGAGAAGAAGCCCCGGCUAACUUC
rnacentral:rRNA from 1 species